UGGCAGGAAGCACGGCCGGAAGAGAUGGCGUCGUUAAGAAAGGAGUCAGAAGAGUCAGUGAGGUGGAGUUGCAAAGAGUGAGGGGAAUCGGCGACUCGAACGAUCCAGUUACCGAGUUUAAGGAGGGUGAAGACGAGCGAUCUUCCUAGAAACCCUCGCCCUCCAAGAACCGCGCAGGUCUUAGGGUUUAAAUCCCCAAAUG
rnacentral:misc_RNA from 1 species